rnacentral:rRNA from 1 species
AAUGAACGCUGGCGGUAUGCUUAACACAUGCAAGUCGAACGGAAUCUUCGGAGUUAGUGGCGCACGGGUGAGUAACGCGUGGGAAUCUGGCUUUGGGUUCGGGACAACCCCUGGAAACGGUGGCUAAUACCGGAUGAGCUGAGCGGAAAAAGAGUAAUUGCCUGAAGAUGAGCUCGGGUCUGAUUAGAUAAUUGGGGAGGUAAAGACUCACCAAGGCAGCGAUCAGUAGCUGGUCUGAGAGGAUGACCAGCCAACCUGGGACUGAGACACGGCCCAGACUACUACGGGAGGCAGGAGUGGAGAAUGUUCCACAAUGGGCGAAAGGCUGACGUAGCACUACCGCGUGAGGGAAGAAGGCGAUGGGGUUGUAAACCACUUUUCUUAGAGAAGAACAAAAUGACGGUACCUAAGGAAUAAGCACCGGCUAACUCCGUG